rnacentral:rRNA from 1 species
AGAGUUUGAUUAUGGCUCAGAUUGAACGCUGGCGGCAGGCUUAACACAUGCAAGUCGAGCGGGGAUAGGGUGCUUGCACCUGAUUCCUAGCGGCGGACGGGUGAGUAAUGCUUAGGAAUCUGCCUAUUAGUGGGGGACAACGUUCCGAAAGGGACGCUAAUACCGCAUACGUCCUACGGGAGAAAGCAGGGGAUCUUCGGACCUUGCGCUAAUAGAUGAGCCUAAGUCGGAUUAGCUAGUUGGUGGGGUAAAGGCCUACCAAGGCGACGAUCUGUAGCGGGUCUGAGAGGAUGAUCCGCCACACUGGGACUGAGACACGGCCCAGACUCCUACGGGAGGCAGCAGUGGGGAAUAUUGGACAAUGGGGGGAACCCUGAUCCAGCCAUGCCGCGUGUUGUGAAGAAGGCCUUUUGGUUGUAAAGCACUUUAAGCGAGGAGGAGGCUUACCUGGUUAAUACCUGGGAUAAGUGGACGUUACUCGCAGAAUAAGCACCGGCUAACUCUGUGCCAGCCGCGGC